GGAAGUCUUGGAAGUGCGGGAGUCUUCCUCCCUUCCCGGGAGCUCCGGGCUCUCCUCCUUUCCCGGGGAGCUCCGGUCGCUUUGUCUCUUGGAGGCCAGAGCCGUGCUUGCAUCACCAGAGGGAGCCUGGAGCCAGAGGGAAUGGGCCCUGGGAGCCUCAGACAACCUCAGG